UACGGAGGAUGCAAGCGUUAUCCGGAUUCAUUGGGUUUAAAGGGUGCGUAGGCGGGAUGGUAAGUCAGGGGUGAAAGCCAGCAGCUCAACUGUUGAAUUGCCUUUGAUACUGCCAUUCUUGAGUGUGUUUGAAGUGGGCGGAAUGUGACAUGUAGCGGUGAAAUGCGUAGAUAUGUCACAGAACACCGAUUGCGAAGGCAGCUCACUAAGCCAUUACUGACGCUGAGGCACGAAAGCGUGGGGAGCAAACAGG
rnacentral:rRNA from 1 species